rnacentral:rRNA from 1 species
AACACAUGCAAGUCGAACGGGGUAGCAAUACCCCAGUGGCGAACGGGUGCGUAACACGUGAGGAACAUUCCCUCCGGUGGGGGAUAGCCGCUAACGGCCGGGUAAUACCGCAUACGCUGUCCGGGGUGCAUACCCUGGGUCGGAAAGCAGCAAUGCGCCGGAGAGGUGCCUCGCGGCCUAUCAGCUAGUUGGUGAGGUAAUGGCUCACCAAGGCGACGACGGGUAGCUGGUCUGAGAGGAUGGCCAGCCACAUUGGGACUGAGACACGGCCCAGACUCCUACGGGAGGCAGCAGUGGGGAAUCUUGCGCAAUGGGCGAAAGCCUGACGCAGCGACGCCGCGUGUGGGAUGAAGGCCUUCGGGUUGUAANCCACUGUCGCGAGGGACGAAGAUCUGACGGUACCUCGAAGGGAAGCA